GGGUUGUGAGGUUAAGCGAACAAGCGUACACGGUGGAUGCCCUGGCAGUCAGAGGCGAUGAAGGACGUGCUAAUCUGCGAAAAGCGCCGGUAAGGUGAUAUGAACCGUUAUAGCCGGCGAUGUCCGAAUGGGGAAACCCAGUGUGAUUCGUCACACUAUCUCAGCAUGAAUACAUAGUGCUGUGAGGCGAACCGGGGGAACUGAAACAUCUAAGUACCCCGAGGAAAAGAAAUCAACCGAGAUUCCCCCAGUAGCGGCGAGCGAACGGGGAACAGCCCAGAGCCUGAAUCAGCUUGUGUGUCAGUGGAACGGUCUGGAAAGGCCGGCGAUACAGGGUGACAGCCCCGUACACGAAGGCACACAGGCUGUGAGCUCGAUGAGUAGGGCGGGACACGUGAUAUCCUGUCUGAAGAUGGGGGGACCAUCCUCCAAGGCUAAAUACUCCUGACUGACCGAUAGUGAACCAGUACCGUGAGGGAAAGGCGAAAAGAACCCCGGCGAGGGGAGUGAAACAGAACCUGAAACCGUGUACGUACAAGCAGUGGGAGCCUUCGUAAGAGGGUGACUGCGUACCUUUUGUAUAAUGGGUCAGCGACUUAUAUUCUGUAGCAAGGUUAACCGCAUAGGGGAGCCGAAGGGAAACCGAGUCUUAAUUGGGCGUUAAGUUGCAGGGUAUAGACCCGAAACCCGGUGAUCUAGCCAUGGGCAGGUUGAAGGUUGGGUAACACUAACUGGAGGACCGAACCGACUAAUGUUGAAAAAUUAGCGGAUGACCUGUGGCUGGGGGUGAAAGGCCAAUCAAACCGGGAGAUAGCUGGUUCUCCCCGAAAGCUAUUUAGGUAGCGCCUCGUGAACUCAUCUUCGGGGGUAGAGCACUGUUUCGGCUAGGGGGCCAUCCCGGCUUACCAACCCGAUGCAAACUACGAAUACCGAAGAAUGUUAUCACGGGAGACACACGGCGGGUGCUAACGUCCGUCGUGAAGAGGGAAACAACCCAGACCGCCAGCUAAGGUCCCAAAGUCAUGGUUAAGUGGGAAACGAUGUGGGAAGGCACAGACAGCCAGGAUGUUGGCUUAGAAGCAGCCAUCAUUUAAAGAAAGCGUAAUAGCUCACUGGUCGAGUCGGCCUGCGCGGAAGAUGUAACGGGGCUAAACCAUGCACCGAAGCUGCGGCAGCGACACUAUGUGUUGUUGGGUAGGGGAGCGUUCUGUAAGCCUGCGAAGGUGUGCUGUGAGGCAUGCUGGAGGUAUCAGAAGUGCGAAUGCUGACAUAAGUAACGAUAAAGCGGGUGAAAAGCCCGCUCGCCGGAAGACCAAGGGUUCCUGUCCAACGUUAAUCGGGGCAGGGUGAGUCGACCCCUAAGGCGAGGCCGAAAGGCGUAGUCGAUGGGAAACAGGUUAAUAUUCCUGUACUUGGUGUUACUGCGAAGGGGGGACGGAGAAGGCUAUGUUGGCCGGGCGACGGUUGUCCCGGUUUAAGCGUGUAGGUGUGUGUUCCAGGUAAAUCCGGUUCACUUUAACACUGAGGCGUGAUGACGAGGCACUACGGUGCUGAAGUAACAAAUGCCCUGCUUCCAGGAAAAGCCUCUAAGCAUCAGGUAACACGAAAUCGUACCCCAAACCGACACAGGUGGUCAGGUAGAGAAUACCAAGGCGCUUGAGAGAACUCGGGUGAAGGAACUAGGCAAAAUGGUGCCGUAACUUCGGGAGAAGGCACGCUGACAUGUAGGUGAAGCCCCUGCGGGUGGAGCUGAAGUCAGUCGAAGAUACCAGCUGGCUGCAACUGUUUAUUAAAAACACAGCACUGUGCAAACACGAAAGUGGACGUAUACGGUGUGACGCCUGCCCGGUGCCGGAAGGUUAAUUGAUGGGGUUAUCGCAAGAGAAGCUCCUGAUCGAAGCCCCGGUAAACGGCGGCCGUAACUAUAACGGUCCUAAGGUAGCGAAAUUCCUUGUCGGGUAAGUUCCGACCUGCACGAAUGGCGUAAUGAUGGCCAGGCUGUCUCCACCCGAGACUCAGUGAAAUUGAACUCGCUGUGAAGAUGCAGUGUACCCGCGGCAAGACGGAAAGACCCCGUGAACCUUUACUACAGCUUGACACUGAACAUUGAGCCUUGAUGUGUAGGAUAGGUGGGAGGCUUUGAAGCGUGGACGCCAGUCUGCGUGGAGCCAACCUUGAAAUACCACCCUUUAAUGUUUGAUGUUCUAACCUGGCGCCAUAAUCUGGCGUGGGGACAGUGUCUGGUGGGUAGUUUGACUGGGGCGGUCUCCUCCCAAAGUGUAACGGAGGAGCACGAAGGUCAGCUAAUCCUGGUCGGACAUCAGGAGGUUAGUGCAAUGGCAUAAGCUGGCUUGACUGCGAGAGUGACGGCUCGAGCAGGUGCGAAAGCAGGUCAUAGUGAUCCGGUGGUUCUGUAUGGAAGGGCCAUCGCUCAACGGAUAAAAGGUACUCCGGGGAUAACAGGCUGAUACCGCCCAAGAGUUCAUAUCGACGGCGGUGUUUGGCACCUCGAUGUCGGCUCAUCACAUCCUGGGGCUGAAGUAGGUCCCAAGGGUAUGGCUGUUCGCCAUUUAAAGUGGUACGCGAGCUGGGUUUAGAACGUCGUGAGACAGUUCGGUCCCUAUCUGCCGUGGGCGCUGGAGAAUUGAGGGGGGCUGCUCCCAGUACGAGAGGACCGGAGUGGACGCAUCACUGGUGUUCGGGUUGUCAUGCCAAUGGCACUGCCCGGUAGCUAAAUGCGGAAGAGAUAAGUGCUGAAAGCAUCUAAGCACGAAACUUGCCCCGAGAUGAGUUCUCCCUGAGACUAUAAGUCUCCUGAAGGAACGUUGAAGACGACGACGUUGAUAGGCCGGGUGUGUAAGCGCAGCGAUGCGUUGAGCUAACCGGUACUAAUGAACCGUGAGGCUUAACCUUACAACGCCAAAGAAGU
rnacentral:rRNA from 1 species